rnacentral:rRNA from 1 species
GUCGAGGGAGAUUGUUGGAUUCGUCUGACAUGAAACCGGCGCACGGGUGCGUAACACGUAUGCAACCUACCUUUAACUGGGGUAUAGCUCAGAGAAAUCUGAAUUAAUCCCCCAUAAGACUACGACAUGGCAUCAUGAUGUAGUUAAAGCUCCGGCGGUUAAGGAUGGGCAUGCGGUACAUUAGCUAGUUGGUGAGGUAAUGGCUCGCCAAGGCUACGAUGUAUAGGGGGUCUGAGAGGAUGAUCCCCCACACUGGUACUGAGACACGGACCAGACUCCUACGGGAGGCAGCAGUAGGGAAUAUUGGUCAAUGGACGCAAGUCUGAACCAGCCAUGCCGCGUGAAGGAUGAAGGCCCUCUGGGUCGUAAACUUCUUUUAUUAGGGAAGAAAACAUGGGAUGCGUCCCAAACUGACGGUACUUAAUGAAUAAGGAUCGGCUAACUUCGUGCCAGCAGCCGCGGUAAGACGAAGGAUCCAAGCGUUGUCCGGAUUUACUGGGUUUAAAGGGUGCGUAGGCGGAAAAUUAAGUCAGUGGUGAAAGCCCGCAGCUCAACUGUGGAACUGCCAUCGAAACUGAUUUUCUUGAAUAUAGCUGAGGCAGAUGGAAUAUAACAUGUAGCGGUGAAAUGCUUAGAUAUGUUAUAGAACACCGAUUGCGAAGGCAGUCUGCUAAACUAUUAUUGACGCUGAGGCACG